CCCUUAGAUGUUCUGGGCCGCACGCGCGCUACACUGACGAAUGCAACGAGCUUAUAACCUUGGCCGAAAGGUCUGGGUAAUCUCCAAAUUUCGUCGUGAUGGGGAUAGAUUAUUGCAAUUAUUAAUCUUGAACGAGGAAUAUUUAGUAAACGCAGGUCAUCAGCCUGCAUUGAUUACGUCCCUGCCCUUUGUACACACCGCCCGUCGCACCAACCGAUUGGAUGUUUUGUUGAAAUAUGUGGGUAUCUUUGUGGAUGGUUUGAUUACUGUCUGUUGAGGGUAGAAGUGUAUUAAAACUGAAUAUCUAGAGGAUGGUGAAGUCGUAACA
rnacentral:rRNA from 1 species